CGCGGCGGGAGGAGGCGGGAGGUGGAAAGGGUGUCUCGCCAACAGUCUCCGUAUCGCAACCCCAAGCUGGCCACACCGGUUCCGGGAGCAGCCGCUUCACGGCGGUCGAGUUUUCUUAGGACUCCCAUUCUUGAGGAGCUGGUUUUAGAGGAAUUUGAGAAAGGAAAGCAUUCAUUGGUGUUGAACGUCCCAGAUAUCCAGAUGUUUCUUUUUGCUCCUCUCCACUCCAGCAACAGGCUCCUGUGAGUCACUCUGAGUUUGGAUGUGGUAAGGAUCAGAGCCAAACUAGGACCUGCAUUUAUGAUCUCGAGCAGAGAAACUGAGGAACAUGGCAGGAAAAUGACUUAUCUAGCAUCAUCCAGCCAAUCGGUGAGAGAGCUAGAACUGGAUCACAGCUAUCCCAACCUCCAGGCUAGUGGUCUGACCACUAAACCACACAGCCUCUUUUUUUAGGGUUUGUUGGCUUGGUUUUUUAUUUAUUUAUUUUUCCUUUUGCUCUGCCCUGCCAGUAACUGGAAGCUCCCAGAUAAAAGAAGAGAAUUUCAAGUCCAGGCUGAACAUUUGACAUCCUCUUAUUUGUGGAGCAUUAUCCUGGGACUUGGAGGGUGCUGCUGUUGGGAUCUGUGUGGUGGAGCUGGGAACCAGCCCCAAGAAUAUAGCUUUGUUUGGGCAUUAACCCAUUUGCGGUUAUAAUAAUGAUAAGUUUCAGCACCAGUGGCGCCCGACUGUUAAUGACUCAAAGAAAGCUAAAUAAGAACAAGAUGUCAUCUCUGGAGCAAUUAGUAGCUUUUUCCUACAGCUCCAUCCCUUCCAUAAAAAUCCUAAGGACCCUUAUAUUUAAAGUCAGUCUUCUACUCUUAAUGUCUUGAACAGUCUAUUGAGGAAGAAAAGGGUAGGAGGUUGCUAGACUAAGGCUUCAAGAAAAUUUGAGGUUGCACAGAAAUAACAGGUAGCCUUACUGGUGUUGGAAUUACUGACUGUUUUAUUUUUCUUCUUUAUACUUUUAUAUAUUCUCAAAAUUUUCUAUAAUAGGUAUGUAUUAUAACUUGAAAACAAACAAUAAAUGACUUGAAAAUCUUCAAAAUAUUUUUAAAGCAGAAGUGAUGACCUUCCAGAUAGUAUUUGUUUUUCCCAAGAAGGAACAGCUACUUUUAGACUUCUCUUCUACCAUAGAGUACAUGAUAACAGAUUUUGGCCACACUUCAGUAGCAGAGGACAUUUUUUAGUGAAAUAAACACAACAUGGGUCUUAAGAAGAGUGGAAAUACGCAAGACUUGUUAAAAGCAGAUGUAAUUCUGUGACCUUGUUGAAUGUUAAGGAAAGAAAAAAAAUGUCAACUUUCAAUUUGGAUGGGUUUUCAGAUUCUUAAAUUAUCAUAACAUACUUCUGAAAAGGUUACCUAAACAAAUAAUCAUCCCGGUAAGCAACCAACUCAGAAGACAACUCCGCAAUCCUGAGUGUAAGCAAGCGAUAUGAAAUUGAUCAAAGCAUAGGGAAGGUACCAGAUGUUAAAGUCAUUCCUACAGCAUAAGGAACAGAAACAUCAAGGUCAAAGCAAUCAGAAAAACACCUACAAGAGAUGAUAUGUGGAGACAUUAGUUUAUCAGAUUAUAAUUCCUAAUUAUAAGGAGAAAAUUAAUAGACAUCUCUGGCUCUGCAGAGGACCUAUGACGAGACUGACACGGAAGAAAUUUCUCCCUUAAAUUGAGAACUUCAGAAAAGCAAACAUGAAUGUACUAAAUAGUUUUAAACUUCAAGGAAACAAUAAGGAAAGAAAAAAUGCAGGCUGAAUUAUUGCUACAAAAUAGGUUCAAGAAACUAGGACAAGCUUUUAUCGACUCAUCAAGCAGAAAAGAUGCUAAAGGCAAAGUAGCUACUAGGAAAUGCAGGUCAUGAAAUUCAUGCUGAGCUCUUCUUAAAAGACUUAUCUUCCGUAAAAGCAAAGCAGAAACUGUGAUGCCACUGUAUGGGAUUAACAUGUUCAAAUUAAAAAAUGCUAUUUACAGACAAGUCAUUUUGAACUGCUACAGGUCAACAACCCAGAGAUUUGGGAGAAUUUGCAGAGAAAAGAAAAAGAAACAUUCACAAACUCUUAGUUAAAAAUAACUAAUGCAUUACAAGCAAGCGGUUAUGAGGACAUGGCUUAAAUUGAACCGGAGCUCAAAGGCUGAGGUGCCAUAGGUCAUAAAGGUGGACUGUCUUUCCCAGCAGGAAGAUCACAGAAACCUGACCUGACUCGACUGCCGCCUUCAGUCAGCACGAAGAACUACACACAGAGAAAAUGCCUCAAUAUUAGUUACCAUGGUGAUGCUAGUUCAACCACAUUUCAUCUGUGUAAAAAUUUCAGGCAGAACAGUAUACAGAAGUACUGGCGAAAGGACUUAACACUUUACUUUUUGUUGCUGUUGCUGUUGCAAAGUUAACGUUAGCUUUGGUAAAGGAUGAUAAUUUGAAGUGAAAUCCUUUGAAAAGUUGAAAACAAGCAAGGAUGAAAUGUCAAACUUACAUUGGAGCAAUCUCGUAAUAGCCACUUUUGCACUAUACCAAAUUACUUUCCCCUCAGCUAACAUUGGGCAUUUGGGGCUUCCUGAUUCUAUUUACUAGUAAGAGGAAAGUGGUUUAAUGAGAUCGCAGAAGAUCCAAAGCCAGGAAAUGUUGACAUAUCAGCUUGGAGGGAGAAUUGAUAUACAGGACCCCAAGGAAGUUAGGGGCUUGGACAAAAGUAACAAGAGGAGAUUCAACCAAGAAACAAAACUAACCCAUGUUAUUAACCUGCUCUGGGGAGAGGAUAGAGCCUGAAGCUAAGACAAGAGCGUUUAUAACUUUCUAUAAUAACCCAAAAGUUAAAUACAGCUGGAAAGCCCUACAGACAGAAGCCUGGAGGAGGCUGAGGUCUUUGUGAAAGUGCAACUACAAGUAAAGACUUACUUCCUUACCCCCUUCCUUCCUUGCCAGGAUCAGAAAGUCAAAGAAGGUGAAGAGGCUAACACCGCUGAUUUACAAAGACAGCGAGGAGGAACUAUGUCUAGGCCAAUUCUGGACGUCUGAGCUGGGGCGACAGGACCCAGACAACCACCUCAGGAAAUGAGUAAAUGAAAAGGGGGAGUCGUGGAAUUAUUUAGCCCUAGCACAACGCUGCCUAGACCGGGGUGGGGGUGGAGCAAGAAGAAAAUCUCAGAAAAGGAAUUUUGACAGUGAGAAUGCUAGUUAAGAUACAGCACUCCAGGCCCCCUGAUGUCCCUUGUUUGAUGUUAAUAAAGACCUGGAGGAUUAUGCAUUAGCAAGCCUUGCGUAUUCUGAGACAUCAAU